CCUGCCCCUGUCUCUGUCACUCAUAAGGCCUGGCCAGACAGGCACAGCCAUGGCAGCAACACUAACCUGGAUUCCUCUCCUUGUGGGUCUUCUGGUCAGGCUGAGAGACACCAUGGCCCAGCAGACCACCCUACACCCACUUGUGGGUCGCGUCUUUGUACACACUUUGGACCGCGCAACCUUCCUUCGCCUUCCUGAGCACAUUGCUGUCCCCCCCACCGUCCGCAUUACCUAUCAUGCUCACCUCCAGGGACACCCAGACCUGCCCCGGUGGCUCCGCUACACUCAGCGCAGCCCCCACCACCCUGGCUUCCUCUAUGGCACCGCCACCCCAGAAGAUCGUGGGCGCCAGGUCAUCGAGGUCACCGCCUAUAAUCGGGACAGCUUUGACACCACUCAACAGACAUUGGUGCUGGUGAUUGAGGACCCAGAAGGCCCUCUGCUGCCACACCAAGCUGAGUUCCUGGUGCGCAGCCAUGAUGUGGAGGAGGUGCUACCCUCAACGCCUGCCAGCCACUUCCUCACAGCCCUGGGGGGGCUCUGGGAGCCAGGGGAGCUUCAGCUGCUCAACAUCACUUCUGCCUUAGACCGUGGGGGCCGUGUUCCCCUUCCCAUUGAGGGCCGCAAGGAAGGGGUGUACAUCAAGGUGGGCUCUGCCUCACCCUUCUCUACUUGCCUGAAGAUGGUGGCAUCCCCUGACAGCCAUGCCCGUUGCAUCCAGGGCCAGCCCCCACUUUUGUCCUGCUAUGACACCUUGGCACCCUACUUCCUCGUUGACUGGUGCAAUGUGUCCCUGGCUGAAGAGAGACCUGGCCACUUCUGACAUCCAGAUGGUUCACCACUGCACCAUCCAUGGGAAUACAGAGGAGCUGCGACAGAUGGCAGGCAACCGUGAAGUGCCCCGGCCACGCUCCACCCUGCCCAUGUUCAACGUGCGCACAGGCGAGCGGCUGCCGCCCCGUGUGGACAGCGCCCAGGUGCCCCUCAUCCUGGACCAGCACUGAGGGCCUGGCCAGCUGUUCUAGGUCCAGUCCUGGCCUCAUCUUCCCUUCUCUGUCCACGAUCCAUGGCCAGCUACAUCCCACCUGCUGGUACCGGCUUCUGGCCCAAUUGGCUCCCAGGCUCUGAAUAAGCAGAGAGAUGGGUGGGGCGGGGUGAGGGUGUUUAGUGUCAGGACAGACAGAAUAAAUACCUGCUGCUCUGUCCAUCUGUUGCUGC